UCAGUCGACUCCUACGGGGAGGCAGCAGUGGGGGAAUAUUGCACAAUGGGCGCAAGCCUGAUGCAGCCAUGCCGCGUGUGUGAAGAAGGACCUUCGGGUUGUUAAAGCACUUUCAGUCGUGAGGAAGGUAGUGUAGUUAAUAGCUGCAUUAUUUGACGUUAGCGACAGAAGAAGCACCGGCUAACUCCGUGCCAGCAGCCGCGGUAAUACGGAGGGUGCGAGCGUUAAUCGGAAUUACUGGGCGUAAAGCGCAUGCAGGUGGUUUGUUAAGUCAGAUGUGAAAGCCCGGGGCUCAACCUCGGAAUAGCAUUUGAAACUGGCAGACUAGAGUACUGUAGAGGGGGGUAGGAAUUUCAGGUGUAGCGGUGAAAUGCGUAGAGAUCUGAAGGAAUACCGGUGGCGAAGGCGGCCCCCUGGACAGAUACUGACACUCAGAUGCGAAAGCGUGGGGAGCAAACAGGAUUAGAUACCCUGGUAG
rnacentral:rRNA from 1 species